GGGAAUGUGGCUUAGUGGUAGAGUGAUUGCCUAGCAUGCAUGAAAUCCUGGGUUCAAUUCCUCAGUACCA
rnacentral:tRNA from 1 species